rnacentral:rRNA from 1 species
GAUCAUGGCUCAGGAUGAACGCUGGCGGCGUGCCUAAUACAUGCAAGUCGAACGCGAGCACUUGUGCUCGAGUGGCGAACGGGUGAGUAAUACAUAAGUAACCUGCCCUACGACAGGGGGAGUAACUAUUGGAACGAUAGCUAAGACCGCAUAGGUACGGACACUGCAUGGUGACCGUAUUAAAAGUAGCCUCAAAGCACUGGUAGAGGAUGGACUUAUGGCGCAUUAGCUGGG